GAUGAACGCUGGCGGCGUGCCUAAUACAUGCAAGUCGAGCGAAUGGAUUAAGAGCUUGCUCUUAUGACGUUAGCGGCGGACGGGUGAGUAACACGUGGGUAACCUGCCCAUAAGACUGGGAUAACUCCGGGAAACCGGGGCUAAUACCGGAUAAUAUUUUGAACUGCAUGGUUCAAAAUUGAAAGGCGGCUUCGGCUGUCACUUAUGGAUGGACCCGCGUCGCAUUAGCUAGUUGGUGAGGUAACGGCUCACCAAGGCAACGAUGCGUAGUCCACCUGAGAGGAGGAUCGGACACAUUGGGACUGACACACGGCCCAGACUCCUAAGGGAGGUAGCAGUAGUGCAUCUUCCGCAAUGGACGAAAGUCUGACGGAGCAACGCCGCGUGAGUGAUGAAGGCUUUCGGGUCGUAAAACUCUGUUGUUAGGGAAGAACAAGUGCUAGUUGAAUAAGCUGGCACCUUGACGGGACCUAACCAGAAAGCCACGGCUAACUACGUGCCAGCCGCCGCGGUAA
rnacentral:rRNA from 1 species